rnacentral:rRNA from 1 species
UACGGAGGGUGCAAGCGUUAUCCGGAUUCACUGGGUUUAAAGGGUGCGUAGGUGGUCCGUUAAGUCAGUUGUGAAAUCCCCGGGCUCAACCCGGGAACUGCUUCUGAUACUGGCGGACUUGAGGCCAGUAGGGGUCACUAGAACUGACGGUGGAGCGGUGAAAUGCGUAGAUAUCGUCAGGAAUGCCGGUGGUGAAGACGGGUGACUGGGCUGGUUCUGACACUGAGGCACGAAAGCGUGGGGAGCAAACAGG